CAGCUGCGGUGGAAAAUUAACCUGUGCUUGGCUGGUACUAGGACUCCUAUUCCAUCCAAAUCAUAAGUUCUUCAUAAUAUACCUGCGUAAUAGUCCCAAGACUACCUCAUGUGCUUUUCCAGCACAAGCAGCUAUGCAGCAAAUCAGAGCAAGGAACAAAGCUGACAUUUGGUGAGUUGAAGUCCCCCACAAGAGCAAGGGCCAGCAACCACAAGACUCGCACCUGUUUACAGAAUAUUUCAUCGACCUCUUCAUCCUGGUUGGAUGGUCUCUGACUGCCAGUAGGAUAUCUGCUUUGUUGGCUCCUGAUCCUUACCCAUAAACAUUAGACCUUAGUGUUACUGUCAUUAAGCUCUAGAAUAUCAAAACUCCCUGACAAACAGGGCUACCCUACUAGUUCUUAAUCAUUGUCUAUCCCUUCUGAAGCAUUACUACAGCACUUUAGUUGUGCAAGUUAUCCUUCCCUGUUUCCAUGAUGGCAACUAUGUCAAUGACUUCCAGCUCCUCCUGUUCAUUGUCUGUGCUGCGUGCAUUGGUGUGGAUCCACUUCAGUUGAGCUUUCAGUCCUAUCACUUUGAAGGGGGGAGAAGCCCUUACACCUGUGCAAAUAUAAAA